rnacentral:rRNA from 1 species
GAUGAACGCUGGCGGCGUGCCUAACACAUGCAAGUCGAGCGAAGCACUUACUCUUGAUUUCUUCGGAAUGACGAAGUUUGUGACUGAGCGCCGGGCGGCUGAGUAACGCGUGGGCAACCUGCCCUGUACAGGGGGCUAACAGCUAGAAAUGACUGCUAAUACCGCAUAAGCCCACUGCUUCGCAUGACGCAGUGGGAAAAAUUCCGGUGGUACAGGAUGGGCCCGCGUCUGAGUAGACAGAGGGUACGGUAACGGGUUACCAAGGCGACGAACAGAAGCCGGAAUGAGGGGGUGACCGGCAACAUUACGACAGGGACAAGGCGGGAACACUGAAGGAAGGGAGCAGGGGGGAAUAUGGCACGACGCGGAAGCGAAGAUGGAGCGACGCCGGGUGAGCGAUGAAGGUUGGCAGUAUGUAAAGCAAUAUAAGCAGGGAAGAAAUUGACGGUACCUGAAGAAGAAGCCCCGGCUAACUACGUG